UACGUAGGGGGCAAGCGUUGUCCGGAUUCAUUGGGCGUAAAGAGCGUGUAGGCGGCCAGGUAGGUCGGUUGUGAAAACUGGAGGCUCAACCUUCAGAGGUCGACCGAAACCAUCUGGCUAGAGUCCGGGAGAGGAGAGUGGAAUUCCUGGUGUAGCGGUGAAAUGCGCAGAUAUCAGGAAGAACACCAAUUGCGAAGGCAGCUCGCUGGGACGUUACUGACGCUGAGACGCGAAAGCGUGGGGAGCAAACAGG
rnacentral:rRNA from 1 species